UUUCCGUAGGUGAACCUGCGGAAGGAUCAUUAGCGUACAAAAUGUGAGGGGCAUGAGAGUGCUGUCGCUGACCCAAAAGUCGUUCACGCCCGAGUGUGUCCUCUUGCAUAGUAAUCCAUCUCACCCUUUGUGCAUCACCGCAUGGGCACCCUUCGGGAUCAUCUCGGAGGGGGGCUCGCGUUUUCACACAAACCCCCCCUUUAAAAGUGUAGAAUGACCACAUAUAUGCAAUCAAUACAACUUUCAACAACGGAUCUCUUGGCUCUC
rnacentral:misc_RNA from 1 species